rnacentral:rRNA from 1 species
GUGCCAGCAGCCGCGGUAAUACGUAGGUGGCAAGCGUUAUCCGGAAUUAUUGGGCGUAAAGCGCGCGCAGGUGGUUUCUUAAGUCUGAUGUGAAAGCCCACGGCUCAACCGUGGAGGGUCAUUGGAAACUGGGAGACUUGAGUGCAGAAGAGGAAAGUGGAAUUCCAUGUGUAGCGGAGAAAUGCGUAUUGAUAUGGAGGAACACCAGGGGCGAAGUCGACUUUCUGGUCUGAAACUGACACU